rnacentral:tRNA from 1 species
UCCCUGGUGGCUUAGACGGUAAAGCAUCUGCCUACAACAUGGGAGACCCGGGUUCGAUCCCUGGGUCGGGAA